UCGCCCCUCAGGCGAGCCCCGCACCUGCGCGGGAUCAGGCGCGGGGCGCAAGGGGCUGCGGUACCCGCGUGGAGCGAGCGCCGUGCGGCAGCGCCUUCUUAAAAGCUGCUUUAAAAGUGGCUCCAUGGAGCAGAUCCCGCUGGGUGCGUGUUCGCUUCUGCAGCAGUAGGGUGAAUAAUCCGGCCUCCCUCGCCUCAGGAAAGGCAUUUGUUUCCGUAUUGCUUGUACGGUCCUGAGCGCACGGGCUCGUUGUGGGUGCGGUGGAGGGGGAGGUGUGCGGGCUCCGCCGCUCCCAGGAGCAGCAGGCCUCUCCUGACCUGGCGGCUGUCCCUAGAGCCUCGUGAAGGGAGCGAGGUCGUCGUGUGUCAAAGCCUAGUCCCCGCCGUCCUGACCGUGUGCGCCGCUGGCCCGGAGAAGGCCUUGCCGGCCAGGCUUGCUGGCAGUGGCUGUCCCCUCCAGGCUGCGGCGCUGCCGGGGAGCCGUCCGUCGCAGAAAGAAAUCCUCCUGGGGGCAAUUGUGGAAUAACUUGGUUGCAAAGAAAGUUUCCUCCUUCUACCGCCCCUGUCGUGGUUUGCUAACGCCUUGAAGCAGGGAGGUGUCGACCCGUUUGGGCUGUGUUUUAAUACUUGCCUAUUAUAACUAUUAAACUGUUUUCUGUAGACUUUCAAGCACGUUAAGGAGGAAAUAGCUUCACAAAUGUCUCUUCCCUGCACUAUUAAAUAAAAGGUGGUUACAUUUUUCAGACCGGUUGCUGAAACGGAGACUCUCCGCUGAUUUCCUGACAGCCGAGAGCCAUUCCCUUUGGUCUCUGCUCCGGAAGUAGAGUCCAAGGUGAACGCGCAGUCCAGAAACACCCUGCUAAUAAGACCGCGUUAUAGGUUUCCGAACCAGUGAGUGGUGGCAUAUUCGGUGGGGUCUCAUUUACAUAUUGGCGAGGGAGAAAUGCUUGUUUGGCCAGACCUUAAUUGCUCGUUAUACAUGAAACAUCUUGAAAAAUUUCAGGCUUCAUCCUACUUUCAUUAAACUGUUUCAUUUUUCUUUGUCAGCAUGUGAUUUGGAGCAGGUUUAUCGUUUUAGGAUUCUUUUUAGAUCUAGAAAGACCAACCCAGCAGAGUUAAGGAAACAGACGGUUAACAGGCUGGUCCGAAGGCACUGGUCUGUGUCUCUGCGGGCCAUGGGAAGGGAGCAGGUGAAACUGCGCAGUGGGCACCAGCUGUGUCUGUCUUGGAGCCGUGGAGAUGCAGUUGUCCUGCUCAUUCAGGAUUGCCUGGUGGACUCUACCAGGUGUCCCUUACUCUCUCUCAAGACCAGGGCUGCUAUUCACUUCAGCUGCCUUUUCAGUGAAAGGAGGCAUGAAGAAGAGAAAAGCACAUGUAUGUCAGGAGGUGGGGUACAAGAAAAGUGUAGGAGUUGAGACAAAGCAGGAAGAGUAAUGAUUUGUUUUAUGUUUCUUAGCUUGGCAAAUAUCUCCUGGGCAUGAUGUGUCAGCAGUUCUGCAAGUCAGUUUGCCAGCCUUGGAGGAAUGGGGGAUGUGUGUGUGUCGCUUGUUUGCUGGGGCCCUUAGAAACCAGUACUACAUUGCUGGGUUCUCCCAAGCCGGCAUCUUUGUGGUCAGUCAUAGCCUUUGUAAGAAGAGAUUAUUGCCUGUGCAUUAGUGAGAGUGGGAAAUCAAGGUUGGAGCUAAUAGUUUCUGACUGUAGUAAGUUGUCAUUUGGGCACUACACAGGAAAAAGGAUGGAGCUAGUGAAAAUCCUGUUAUACCUCUGGCCAAUCUACCAGUAACUUUUGUCAAGGAGUGCCCUUGUUAAGUCUUAGUGGGUGAUAGAGAGCUGCUACUUGUGCUGCUAUUAUAAAUAACAGGAUAGAGGAGGACAAAAUUCUCAGAUGCAUGCUGGACAGAAAAGAUCUAAUUUAAACUUUUAAUUUGGCUAUAGCUGGGCAGAUUUUUUGACGGCAGUUUAAAUGCAUAGAUGCAGUUUCACAUAUAGUCUUUCAUAACACUAAGCAUCUGGGGGCCUGGUGGAAGAGGCUUCUUUGGCAGUGUCAUAUAAAAUAAGGGCUUGGUGAUGGGAGAAGUAAAGUGGCCAGAGUAACUGCUAUCCCUCAACAAUACUGAUCAUUUUGUCUGAGAGAACCUAGCUAAGAGAUGUUCAAACUAUGUGGUCUGAAGAGAAAGGUGGAUCUAACAGAGAAGACAGCAGUUAAUUUCUACCAGCUGUUAUCAUUGUGGACUGAAAUUUAAAUGGUAUUUUAACCCCCCCCCCCCAAUAUAUAUAUCACAUGAUUUCUCAUAGUACACACCGUUUUAACUAUUUAAAACCAUUUGGGUUCUGAAGAAAAUUCCCUGUGAUGAAGGGAUCAGGAGGCUCUGGUCCUGUAGUUAAUUUCUCUACAUUUAUGAUUCAAAAACUGAAUUUAAUACAAAAUUAAACACAGAAAAGUUUGGAGAUAGUGAGCAGCUUAUUGACAUUGAACCAACUUUUAUAUUAAGCAACAUGUUUAAUAGCCAAGACAGUUAUCAAAAUUGCUUCACCUUAACUCUUAGUUUUUCAGUUCCAGCUUCAUUUGGGAGUUAUGGUUUUCCUUUGCAGUAGUUCACUGGGAAAUUUCCUAUGUUUUCCCUACUUUUAUUUCUCUGAAACUGCCAGCAGUGUUGUAUGCAAUGUCAACAAAGAGACACUAGAGAGCAAUAGUAGAUGCUGGCUUGGGAAUUAACUGUGCUGUCUCAACAGUAUUGCACAGGUCUGCUUGCUUGGUGAUGAAGAGAGUGAGUAAAGGGCAUGUGCCUAGACCUACUACGUGACAAUGAAACGUUGCCUUGAGACUACUGGUUUGGUUGUAUGGCAAGCACAUACAAGAACUUCCACAAAAUACGAUGGGAUUCCACAGGAACAAUUUAUAGGCUGAAAAUAGAUCAAAGACUUACUUUGAACUGUCCAAACAAGCCUGUGGCAUUUAUGAUGGUGUUUUCAUGCUGGCACAUUAAGCUAGUUCAUAACUGUUAGUUUAGUUAGAUUGUAUCUUGACUGUAGAGGACUGACUAUUCCAAUAAGGAAUUAAACCUUCAAAACAAAAAGUCAUUAAUUUAUUUUCAGACACUGUCUUAAAUGAGAGAGGUUGCUGUUUGGUUAGCUUUCUGAGAGACUUUAACCUAAUCUUUCUUGCCUUUUAGACUACAUAAAACAAGUCCUAUGAAUAGAGACUAGUUUCUUGCUACAGUGUACUUGGGAAUGCAGCCCUAAAAUAGUUUGCUGCUGCUUUACCUGUGUAAAGCCCCUGAUUUAAACAAGAUGAGGGCCAUUGCUGUUGGUGAAAGGUUUCUUUAGCCAGCUCAAAACUCUUCAGUGAGAUGCAAGUUACAGCCUGCAGAAAUAUUGCGUAUGCGCAAAGCGUAUGUCAGUACCAGCAUUCUGCUCUGAAUCCAUUGAGGCUGCCAUCAGUUAUCAGAGACCUGGGUCUCAAAAUUCACUGCUGCCAGAUCAUCUAAAAAUAUCCAGCGGUCCUUGGUUUUGAAAACCAGAUGAUUUUGACUGCUUCAUGUACAGAUCAGAGCCGCCAGGUGAACAGAAGUCUGUCUAAGUGGAUGAGCAGCGGAGAACAGGCAAACCGAUCUUGUUAUUUUCAGAGUUCCCAAGAGACCUAUUAACAACAGAUUUUUAUGGAAAAGAAGCAUGGUUAAACUGGUGAAAAUAACUGUGCACAAGUCAUAAUGAGAGACAAAAAAAAUACUUAACAUGAGAUGUGAAGGACCCUGAGGUUAGGACCUGGCAGGCUGUACAGGAGAAGCUGCUUGACAGCGACUUGUAUUUGUCUGAGCAUAGAGUUGGGGUCCACGUGCCUGUGGUUGGCGUGCUGGCUCCGAGCUGACGGUGUUGGAAUUCACGUGGGUUCCUGAGCUGAACUUAGAAGAGAUGUGGCUUGCUCCGAUUCUUGUGACAAGCUUCGUACAAACCUGCUCGCAAGCUGUGUGGAGUAAAAUGAAAGUCUGGUGGUUGAAUCCUGCCAUUCCUCUGCAGGCCAUGCAAGGACCAAGAGCCAUCUUUCCACCUAGUUUUGGCAGUGUACAGGGAGAGCUGUUCUCGCUGCUGUGUAUUCGUGUUCCCUGGGGCCGGGGCCAGGCCCAGGGAGAUGGACAGAAGAGGCCUGUAAUGCGUUCCACGUCCAGUACUAAGGGCAGCCUACCGGGCCGUGUACCCAGCACUGUAGUUGAAAGCACGAAACGGAAUAAAAUCAGAAUUAACAUUCAAUCAGAUAUAAGUCCUAUGAACUCAUUAGGAAGAGGCCUAGGAUUAUAGGCAAAAGGCGGUGUGAAGGGGGUCCUUGGCAUUUCAGUGCAGCUGUUUGCCUGGGCUUUGUGUCACCAGAGGUGUUUCCCAGGAGACGUGUCAUCCCCGUCUGUUGCCUCCACGACUUGCAAGCAGCCCAGGCAAGAUUCUCUGGAGCAGUGGGAUUAGGAGGUGGUGCCCCAGAAUCCUGUCCUCUGGAAAGGUCAGCUGUGGACCACUGGACAUCUCAUUCCACAUGUCCUGGAGCACAUAUUCCACAGGUCUGGAGGAGGGGUGCAGCCCCAGAUCGCCUUCCCAAGAUCCUGCUGGUGCUGUUCCACCUGACCACGUGCCCAUCUCCUAGAAGAUGAAUGAGGAGGACUUCCUGGCCCCUUUGGAUUCUUGUUCCAGAUCCAGACGUGGCUGCGAGCUCCAGACCCCGUCUCCAGUCCCUGGGGCCAUCUUGUGAACGUCUGACUUGGCCCCUGCAGCCUAGCGUUUUAGCUGCUCCACGGACCUCUAGCCUUACUCCAUCUGUGGUCAUCUCCCAGACUCCAGCAUGUUGCUCCUCACCUUGCCCUCAUCACUUUCUUCACGUUCUCUUUAUCACAGCCUUGCCCAUCUAUAAUCUACCUUUCAGCUUUUUCAUCUGUUGUGUCUCUAAGCCUUGACACGUUCAGGCAAAGGGACUGCAGCUGUCCUGGAGAGCUGAGCGCCAAACGUGGGCGCUCUGCUUACUGAGGGGUGGCACGCCAUUAGGUAGGUCCUCUGCUCGUGUUAAGCAGAGCAGCCCAUGGUGAUGUUUACCGCCGCUGAAGUCGUAGCCUACGAGGUGGCAUGGCAAGGAGCAGGCAUGGCUUCGUGGAGCAGACAAAAGGGAGCUUCAGUCUGCAGGGUGUGUUUGAAACCGAAGCACAAGGCAGCCUCUCUCUUGUUGGCUGCAGUAUUUUAACCCUAGGCUUGUUGGAGGAGGAUUCAUUUGCUGAGCGCAUCUUAGCUAAGCACCACAUACGUGCUGUAUUAUGUCUGUUGUAGCAUCACAGAGGGACUUUGAUUUCCUUUAUUGCCCAGCUAUCUGGUAUUGAAUAUUCAGUAACCCGACACCAAGGCAAAUGGCACAGACCAGGAAAAGGGAGCCUCUCUUUUCAUUUUCCCUGGGCUGGCUCCAGCACCCUCCCCUCGCAGAGUGGAUCCGACCCACAAAGGCCAGUCUUGCACUUGGAGACGCUCGGCUCCAGUGAUUUAUCUGUGUAAUUCCCGCACAGAGGGGAAGCCACAGAGCAGGCUUGGAGUUGUGGACUGAGGAGAAUAUUGUGUUGUAAUAUAUAUCAAGCGAUAGUGCAAACUGCAGAAAACACACAGAGUAGGGGAAAAGCUUCAAAGGAGCAGGGAACAGGUAGUUUAAGGUUCUCUUGCGAAUAGGCUGUUGCACAGCUCUGCAGGUCAGAAGCCCUAGCACUUCAAAGGGAGAGCGUAUUGUACCUGCAUUCCCCGUUACUGGCUUGCCAGAAGCCCCACUUCCUUCUGGAGGUGCCAGGUUUUUCUUCCAGAAUCCCUACGUCUUGAAAGAAAACUAUUCAGUGGUAUCAUAACCAUCAUCAUCCCCGUAUCAUUAAAUCCCAACACUUGCUCAGUACUCGUGUUUGCUUGUUUUCUGUCUGAAACCUAAGAAAAGGCUGCCUACUACCUGGCAGAAAGCACACACCUUUACAGACUCUUGCUUUUGUUUCAUUUGGGAUGUGCUCUGCAGUUACUUUUUGAACUCCUCUUUAAGGGACAACACGUGAUGGGGAAGGAAGGGGAUAAUGAGGGCUGACUCCUUAGGAACAGAAGAGCCUGAUCUUGGAACAAUGCGCAACACGGCUACAGCAGAAAAAGCGGGGCGGGAGAGCUCGCUUUUCCCCUCGACCAGAAUGACAUCUCACUUGACCCAGCACUUAGCAGAGGAGCUCUGUUGUUGUUGGUGCAGUUUCAGAGCAGCAAAGGAAAAGCACUGAGUGCCGAUGGGAGGAUUCGCACUCUUGCUUCACGGUGCUUAUAAUUUUAAAGUAAUCCCCUAAAAGAAGGACGCAAUUGGAAUCGCAGUGGAAUGUGUUGAUUUUUCCCCUUACAGGGUCUGUGGAGCCCUUAUUAAAAGGGGGAGAAAUCUUCUGUGUGGCCUUGAAACCUUAUAUAAUGUUUCUCUGUUGGGUCAAUAAAAAAUAUCCUAACCGUUAUUUUGUCUGAGCUCAAAUCUUGAAGGAAACACCAGGCUGAAUAGGAAAAAAGUUCUACGGUUACAGGUCUUAUAAUUCUCAGAGCUUCCCCCAGCUGCCCCCACCUCCAAACUCUGUCUCCAAACACUCAGACUGUGGAAGUGAUAAC